rnacentral:rRNA from 1 species
UACGUAGGUGGCAAGCGUUGUCCGGAUUUACUGGGCGUAAAGAGCGCGCAGGCGGUCGUUCAAGUCGCGUGUGAAAGCCCCCGGCUCAACUGGGGAGGGUCACGCGAUACUGAUCGACUCGAAGGCAGGAGAGGGUAGUGGAAUUCCCGGUGUAGUGGUGAAAUGCGUAGAUAUCGGGAGGAACACCAGUGGCGAAGGCGACUACCUGGCCUGUUUCUUGACGCUGAGGCGCGAAAGCUAGGGGAGCGAAUGGG